UGCGAAACAAACCAAUUAAAGAUAUACUGUUUCUGUUUUCACAAAGUUUAACUUCCUAUUUUGCCAUAAAAAUGAGAUCUUCAUUACUUCAAUUCAAACAAAAUGAAAUGGAAUUCUUCGAAUACCACAUCACCAAGCGUUACAAAUCAUCAGAAAAUCGAAUUAAAGCUAUCAAUGCUUACACUAUCAAGGAUCUACGCUGUUUUCUAGAAAUAGUAACCUACAUAUUAUCGAGCAUAUAUUCUAACACCAAAUCCAAGCUUCAUACAACGAAUAACUAAAAUACGACAAAACACCAAUUGAGUGGACUCGAAUUGGAGAUACUAUGGAUCAGAAAAGAAAUAAAAAAUGGAAAUCGCUAGCUUUUUUCACGAAAAUGAAGCAAAACAAAAAAUAACUAUAGCACGUAUAUCAUGAACUGCUUAUCAUCUUUAAAUAUUCAUAUGAAAGAAGAAAAAAAUUUAAUCGCAGACAUCCUUUUACACAUAAACAUAAUAAAUAUGUCGAUGAUCUUCAAUCAUGAAGAAAUUCAGCAUCAACUAUGAGAUGAUAAAUUUAACUGGAUCUUUCAUGAAAAUCAUUUUUUCGACUUCAAAAAACAAAAAAUCAAGAACAAUGUUAAAAUCUAUCAUAACAUACAAGAGAGAUAUCAUAAAGCCAUACAUUCCGAAAAUAGUGAAACCUUUCCAAUGUCCUUUACAGGCUAAAAUAUCCAAGUAGCUACAUCACAAGCUUCCUAACUACAAGAACGAUAUAUCUAGUCCAAAAUAAAAAAGGAUGCUCUAAAAUAAAAUCGUGAAUAAAUAGUAUGUAAAUGAGCUAAAAUUCAUCGUCACAACCAACUUCUACCAUACAAAAUUAAAGCUCCAGAUAAAGAAUUCAAUCAAAUUUAUCUCAACCUUAUGUAAUUCCCAAAGGUAAAUAAUUUCAAUAUACUGUCAAAUACUAUUUAA